rnacentral:rRNA from 1 species
AUCACCUCCUUUAGAGUUUGAUCCUGGCUCAGAACGAACGCUGGCGGCAGGCUUAACACAUGCAAGUCGAACGAACUCUUCGGAGUUAGUGGCAGACGGGUGAGUAACGCGUGGGAAUAUACCUUUCGGUACGGAACAACAGUUGGAAACGACUGCUAAUACCGUAUGCGCCCUAUGGGGGAAAGAUUUAUCGCCGAAGGAUUAGCCCGCGUUGGAUUAGCUAGUUGGUGGGGUAAAGGCCUACCAAGGCGACGAUCCAUAGCUGGUCUGAGAGGAUGAUCAGCCACACUGGGACUGAGACACGGCCCAGACUCCUACGGGAGGCAGCAGUGGGGAAUAUUGGACAAUGGGGGCAACCCUGAUCCAGCCAUGCCGCGUGAGUGAUGAAGGCCCUAGGGUUGUAAAGCUCUUUCA